GACAGAGGUGCCGAGCGUUAGGCGGAAUCACUGGGCUUAAAGCGUGUGUAGGCGGAUCGUUAAGUACCUUGUGAAAUCCCACGGCUUAACCGUGGAACUGCUUGGUAUACUGGCGAUCUUGAGCCACUUAGGGGCUACCGGAACAAAUGGUGGAGCGGUGAAAUGCGUAGAUAUUCGCAAGAACACCAGUGGCGAAGGCGGCUCACUGGCCCGAUACUGACGCUGAGGCACGAAAGCGUGGGGAGCAAACAGG
rnacentral:rRNA from 1 species